rnacentral:rRNA from 1 species
CAGUAGCCACGGGAAUACAGAGGGUGCGAGCGUUAAUCGGAUUUACUGGGCGUAAAGCGUGCGUAGGCGGCUUUUUAAGUCGGAUGUGAAAUCCCUGAGCUUAACUUAGGAAUUGCAUUCGAUACUGGGAAGCUAGAGUAUGGGAGAGGAUGGUAGAAUUCCAGGUGUAGCGGUGAAAUGCGUAGAGAUCUGGAGGAAUACCGAUGGCGAAGGCAGCCAUCUGGCCUAAUACUGACGCUGAGGUACGAAAGCAUGGGGAGGAAACAGGAUUAGAUACCCGCGUAGUCCCUGUCUCUUAUAC